rnacentral:rRNA from 1 species
AUUGAACGCUGGCGGCAUGCUUUACACAUGCAAGUCGAACGGUAACAGGCCGCAAGGUGCUGACGAGUGGCGAACGGGUGAGUAAUGCAUCGGAACGUGCCCAGUCGUGGGGGAUAACUGCUCGAAAGAGCAGCUAAUACCGCAUACGAUCUAUGGAUGAAAGCGGGGGACCGUCAGGCCCAGCGCGAUUGGAGCGGCCGAUGUCAGAUUAGGGAGUUGGUGGGGUAAAGGCUCACCAAGCCAACGAUCUGUAGCUGGUCUGAGAGGACGACCAGCCACACUGGGACUGAGACACGGCCCAGACUCCUACGGGAGGCAGCAGUGGGGAAUUUUGGACAAUGGGGGCAACCCUGAUCCAGCAAUGCCGCGUGCAGGAAGAAGGCCUUCGGGUUGUAAACUGCUUUUGUACGGAACGAAACGGUCUGGGUUAAUACCCUGGGCUAAUGACGGUACCGUAAGAAUAAGCACCGGCUAACUACGUGCCAGCCGCCGCCGUAA